GAUGAAGAACGUAGCGAAAUGCGAUACGUAAUGUGAAUUGCAGAAUUCAGUGAAUCAUCGAGUCUUUGAACGCACAUUGCGCCCCCUGGUAUUCCGGGGGGCAUGCCUGUUCGAGCGUCAUUACAACCCUCAAGCUCUGCUUGGUAUUGGGCUCUGCCGGUCCCGGCAGGCCUUAAAAUCAGUGGCGGCGCCACUCGGCUUCAAGCGUAGUAAUUCUUCUCGCUUCGGAGACCCGGGUGCGUGCUAGCCAGCAACCCCCAACUUUCUCAGGUUGACCUCGGAUCAGGUAGGGAUACCCGCUGAACUUAAGCAUAUCAAUAAGCGGAGGA
rnacentral:misc_RNA from 1 species